rnacentral:tRNA from 1 species
GCCUCCGUGGUGUAAUGGUCAGCACACUCGGCGCGUAAUCGAGAGUUUCGUGGUUCGAGUCCCGGCGAGGGCA